ACAAUAAUUUGGCUGUUCAAAGGUACUCAUACUCUUGUAGUCUCUCUCCUCAGUUUUAAGUCCUCCUGCCUCUCCCCACUGUACUCUAAGGCACUCGCCUGUUAUUUAAAAACAUGUAUUUUUGAUUUAAUUCAUUUAAAGUCUACUCUUCCCCCUGAUUUUUUGAUUAAAGGGGCACAAUAAUUUGGCUGUUCAAAGGUACCCCAAACAUUAGUCUUUUAAUUGGAGACUUGUAUGAAAGAUUUGAUGAAAUAUAAACUUUCUCUAAUUUUAUAUUAUUAGAAUUUAAUUUUUUAGUUAAAAAGCUAAAAUAAAUUAAAAAGACGAGAAGACCCUAUAGAGUUUAAUAGUUUUUAAUUUAAAACAUUUAUAUAAAAUUAUAAUAGUUAAUUUUAUAAAUUAAUUUGUUGGGGUGAUAUAAAACUAAAAAAAACCGGCAGCCCAACUCCUCUCUAAGAAGCAGUACUCAUGCACGCCGCGCGCCAGUGUCGAUUCCCAUU
rnacentral:rRNA from 1 species